CCUACGGGGUGCUGCAGUGAGGAAUAUUGGUCAAUGGGCGGAAGCCUGAACCAGCCAAGCAGCGUGCGGGAUGAAGGCGCUAAGGAUCGUAAACCGCUUUUGCCCGGGGAUAAAACCCUCCACUAGUGGCUGUCUGCAGGUACCGUGCGAAUAAGGGCCGGCUAAUUCCGUGCCAGCAGCCGCGGUAAUACGGAAGGCCCGAGCGUUAUCCGGAUUCAUUGGGCUUAAAGGGGGCGUAGGCGGGCGUUAAAGUCAGCUGUAAAAGCGCGCGGCUCAACCGCGCCCCGCAGUUGAAACUGGACGCCUUGAGUUCACAACAGGCAGGCGGAAUGCGGGGUGUAGCGGUGAAAUGCAUAGAUAUUGCGAGGAACCCCGAUUGCGAAGGCAGCCUGCCGGGGUGCGACUGACGCUGAGGCUCGAAGGUGCGGGUAUCAAACAGGAUUAGAUACCCGUGUAGUC
rnacentral:rRNA from 1 species